AGAAUCAACGCUGGCGGCGUGCCUAACACAUGCAAGUCGAACGAGAAAGUGGAGCAAUCCAUGAGUAAAGUGGCGCACGGGUGAGUAACACGUGACUAACCUACCCUUGAGUGGGGGAUAACCUAGGGAAACCUGGGCUAAUACCGCAUAAUACCUUCGGGUCAAAGGAGCAAUUCGCUUAAGGAGGGGGUCGCGGCCGAUUAGUUAGUUGGCGGGGUAAUGGCCCACCAAGACGAUGAUCGGUAUCCGGCCUGAGAGGGCGCACGGACACACUGGAACUGAAACACGGUCCAGACUCCUACGGGAGGCAGCAGUGGGGAAUUUUGCGCAAUGGGGAAACCCUGACGCAGCAACGCCGCGUGGAGGAUGAAGUCCCUUGGGACGUAAACUCCUUUCGAUCGGGACAUAAUGACGGUACCGGAAGAAGAAGCCCCGGCUAACUUCGUGCCAGCAGCCGC
rnacentral:rRNA from 1 species